rnacentral:rRNA from 1 species
ACGGCUCAGUAACACGUAGUCAACCUAACUCGUGGACGUGGAUAACCUCGGGAAACUGAGAAUAAACCACGAUAGAUCAUAGUGCCUGGAAUGGCUUAUGGUCCAAACAGUUUACUGCCAUGGGAUGGGACUGCGGCCUAUCAGCUUGUUGGUGAGGUAAUGGCCCACCAAGGCGAUUACAGGUACGGGCUCUGAGAGGAGAAGCCCGGAGAUGGGUACUGAGACACGGACCCAGGCCCUAUGGGGCGCAGCAGGCGAGAAACCUUAGCAAUGUGCGAAAGCACGACUGGGUCAGUCCGAGUGAUUCCUGAUAAAGGAGUCUUUUGCUUGUCCUAAAAACACAGGUGAAUAAGGGGUGGGCAAGUCUGGUGUCAGCCGCCGCGGUAAUACCAGCACCUCGAGUGGUCAGGACGUUUAUUGGGCCUAAAGCAUCCGUAGCCGGCUUUGCAAGUCUUCGGUUAAAUCCACCUGCUCAACAGAUGGGCCGCUGGAGAUACUACAGAGCUAGGGAGUGGGAGAGGCAGACGGUAUUCAGUGGGUAGGGGUAAAAUCCUCUGAUCCAUUGAGGACCACCAGUGGCGAAGGCGGUCUGCCAGAACACGUUCGACGGUGAGGGAUGAAAGCUGGGGGCGCAAACCGGAUUAGAUACCCGGGUAGUCCCAGCUGUAAACGAUGCAAACCCGGUGAUGCAUUGGCUUAUGGCCAAUGCAGUGCCGCAGGGAAGCCGUUAAGUUUGCCGCCUGGGAAGUACGGACGCAAGUCUGAAACUUAAAGGAAUUGGCGGGGGAGCAC